rnacentral:rRNA from 1 species
AACGAACGCUGGCGGCAUGCCUAACACAUGCAAGUCGAACGAGAUCUUCGGGUCUAGUGGCGCACGGGCGCGUAACGCGUGGGAAUCUGCCCUUUGGUUCGGAAUAACAGUUGGAAACGACUGCUAAUACCGGAUGAUGACGAAAGUCCAGCGAUUUAUCGCCAGAGGAGGAGCCAGCGUAGGAUUAGCUAGUUGGUGUGGUAAAGGCGCACCAAGGCGACGAUCCUUAGCUGGUCUGAGAGGAUGAUCAGCCACACUGGGACUGCGACACGGCCCAGACUCCUACGGGAGGCAGCAGUGGGGAAUAUUGGACAAUGGGCGAAAGCCUGAUCCAGCAGUGCCGCGUGAGUGAUGAAGGCCUUAGGGUUGUAAAGCUCUUUUACCCGGGAUGAUAAUGACAGUACCGGGAGAAUAAGCUCCGGCUAACUCCGUGCCAGCCGCCGCCGUAA